AGGCUUGGAUUCCUGCAUCGUCCGGUGACUUCCACAAUCUGGUCUCAGGGUGGAGCGCUUUUUCUUUGAGUUCCUAGCCUGUGAGCUUCUGAUGAUGGUGCCUAUCAAUUAAGUGAACAACUGUGAUUGUUGACAGCUUCCAUUGUAUGACCAGACUCUGCUUCAGCUUUAUGAAACUCCAUAAAACUUUCCACGGUCCUAUAGCAUGUGU